rnacentral:rRNA from 1 species
GGUGGUCGAGCAUUGAGUGUUGAAAAGAUGCCGAGUGGCAAACGGGUGAGUAACGCGUAGACAACCUGCCGCAAAGAUGGGGACAACAGUCCGAAAGGACUGCUAAUACCGAAUGUUGUGCAACUUCCGCAUGGGAGAUGCAUUAAAGAUGGCCUCUACUUGUAAGCUAUCGCUUUGCGAUGGGUCUGCGUCUGAUUAGCUAGUUGGUGGGGC